AUAUCAAUAAGCGGAGGAAAAGAAACCAACAGGGGAUUGCCCUAGUAACGGCGAGUGAAGCGGCAACAGCUCAAAUUUGAAAUCUGGCUCUUUUAGAGUCCGAGUUGUAAUUUGCAGAGGGCGCUUUGGCUUUGGCAGCGGUCCAAGUUCCUUGGAACAGGACGUCACAGAGGGUGAGAAUCCCGUACGUGGUCGCUGGCUAUUGCCGUGUAAAGCCCCUUCGACGAGUCGAGUUGUUUGGGAAUGCAGCUCUAAAUGGGAGGUACAUUUCUUCUAAAGCUAAAUAUUGGCCAGAGACCGAUAGCGCACAAGUAGAGUGAUCGAAAGAUGAAAAGCACUUUGGAAAGAGAGUCAAACAGCACGUGAAAUUGUUGAAAGGGAAGCGCUUGCAGCCAGACUUGCUUGCAGUUGCUCAUCCGGGUUUUUACCCGGUGCACUCUUCUGUAGGCAGGCCAGCAUCAGUUUGGGCGGUAGGAUAAAGGUCUCUGUCACGUACCUCCUUUCGGGGAGGCCUUAUAGGGGAGACGACAUACUACCAGCCUGGACUGAGGUCCGCGCAUCUGCUAGGAUGCUGGCGUAAUGGCUGUAAGCGGCCCGUCUUGAAACACGGACCAAGGAGUCUAACAUCUAUGCGA
rnacentral:rRNA from 1 species